ensembl:miRNA pma-mir-138a pma-mir-138a
CCGGCGGCAGCUGGUGUUGUGAAUCAGGCCGGUGGCGCAGCCCCUAGACACACGGCUGUUUCACUACAGCAGGGUCGCAU